UGAUACGGAGGGUGCGAGCGUUAAUCGGAAUUACUGGGCGUAAAGCGCGCGUAGGUGGCUUGAUAAGCCGGUUGUGAAAGCCCCGGGCUCAACCUGGGAAUGGCAUCCGGAACUGUCAGGCUAGAAUGCAGGAGAGGAAGGUAGAAUUCCCGGUGUAGCGGUGAAAUGCGUAGAGAUCGGGAGGAAUACCAGUGGCGAAGGCGGCCUUCUGGACUGACACUGACACUGAGGUGCGAAAGCGUGGGUAGCAAACAGGAUUAGAUACCCUGGUAGUCCACGCCGUAAACGAUGUCGACUAGCCGUUGGGCUCCUUGAGAGCUUUGUGGCGCAGUUAACGCGAUAAGUCGACCGCCUGGGGAGUACGGCCGCAAGGUUAAAACUCAAAUGAAUUGACGGGGGCCCGCACAAGCGGUGGAGCAUGUGGUUUAAUUCGAUGCAACGCGAAGAACCUUACCUACCCUUGACAUCGAGAGAACUUUCCAGAGAUGGAUUGGUGCCUUCGGGAACUCUCAGACAGGUGCUGCAUGGCUGUCGUCAGCUCGUGUUGUGAAAUGUUGGGUUAAGACCCGUAACGAGCGCAACCCUUGUCCCUAUUUGCCAGCGAUUCGGUCGGGAACUCUAGGGAGACUGCCGGUGACAAACCGGAGGAAGGUGGGGACGACGUCAAGUCAUCAUGGCCCUUACGGGUAGGGCUACACACGUGCUACAAUGGCAGGUACAAAGGGUUGCGAAUCCGCGAGGUGGAGCCAAUCCCGAAAAGCCGGUCUCAGUCCGGAUCGGAGUCUGCAACUCGACUCCGUGAAGGCGGAAUCGCUAGUAAUCGUGAAUCAGAAUGUCACGGUGAAUACGUUCCCGGGCCUUGUACACACCGCCCGUCACACCAUGGGAGUGGACUGCACCAGAAGUGGUUAGCUUAACCUUC
rnacentral:rRNA from 1 species